GAGUGUAACAACAAUGAAGGCAAUGCUUUUCGUACGAAUUAAUUUCGGACUGGACUGCUCCGCAUUUUAUGAUAAACUCUUGAAAGACAAAAAAUUGGUUCCAGUGAAAAAUACAAAACAGCAACAGUGAAUGAUGCUGUUGCACCAUCUUGUUCCCACUGAUCUGCAAUUUUAUCAAUGGAGUGUAUCAAGUGCCUUUGUAUUUAUAAACAAGCCCCAAGUCGACACUGGAUUUGCACAUCGUUUGCUAUUAAAACAUGGAGCCGUCCCUGCGAUAAAAGACCCAAUUCAUGACAGGACAGGACAGAAAGUGUGAUAGAGAGGAGGGGACUGCAUCAGAAAAGACCUAGAGCUGAGAGACUUUUACACCCGGAGCACAACCACAUAUACACGAGGCUGUUUGCUAACAUUUAAUCAAAUUUUAAGAAAGAUUUCUACAUAAAUAUUAAAUGCAUUUCAUUCAAGGCAGGGUUUUUCUUGUGUAAAGAAUUUCAAGGCGACUGUCUCUUGUCAAAUUCAGUGCCACCUCUGGCUGUCGACAAAAGUCAAGACUGGACACAUGCUCCUAUACCCCUUUACCACCUACACAGUUUCUGUUGCAAGUUCUCUUCUCAAACUUUUCAACAAUUUCACAGCACAAUUGUACAAAUCUUUUGUAAUGAGACACAUUAGUAAAACAUUUUUUCACAGAAAUUAUAGUUUUU